rnacentral:rRNA from 1 species
AGAGUUUGAUCCUGGCUCAGAACGAACGCUGGCGGCGUGCUUAACACAUGCAAGUCGUACGAGAAAUCUUGAGCAAUCGGGAGAGUAAAGUGGCGCACGGGUGAGUAAUGCGUGGGUAACCUACCCUUCAAUUGGGGAUAACCCCGCGAAAGCGGGGCUAAUACCGAAUAAUGUUUCAGUCUUUUCGGGGAUUGAAAUGAAAGAUGGCCUCUGCAUGCAAGCUAUCGUUGAAGGAUGGGCCCGCGUACCAUUAGCUAGUUGGUAGGGUAAUAGCCUACCAAGGCAACGAUGGUUAGCUGGUCUGAGAGGAUGGCCAGCCACACUGGAACUGAGACACGGUCCAGACUCCUACGGGAGGCAGCAGUGGGGAAUCUUGCGCAAUGGGGGAAACCCUGACGCAGUAACGCCGCGUGGGUGAUGAAGGCUUUCGGGUCGUAAAGCCCUGUCAGGUGGGAAGAACCAUGUCGAUGUGAAUACCAUCGGCAUCUGACGGUACCACCGGAGGAAGCACCGGCUAACUCCGUGCCAGCAGCCGCGGUAAUACGGAAGGUGCAAGCGUUGUUCGGAAUUAUUGGGCGUAAAGCGCGUGUAGGUGGUUGGGUAAGUCAGAUGUGAAAGCCCUCAGCUUAACUGGGGAAGUGCAUUUGAAACUGCUUGGCUAGAGUCCGGGAGAGGAGAGUGGAAUUCCCGGUGUAGAGGUGAAAUUCGUAGAUAUCGGGAGGAACACCAGUGGCGAAGGCGGCUCUCUGGCCCGAUACUGACACUGAGACGCGAAAGCGUGGGUAGCAAACAGGAUUAGA